rnacentral:rRNA from 1 species
AGAGUUUGAUCCUGGCUCAGGACGAACGCUGGCGGCGCGCCUAACACAUGCAAGUCGAACGAAGACAUCUGAGUGCUUGCACUUGGAUGGACUGAGUGGCGGACGGGUGAGUAACGCGUGGGUAACCUGCCUUAUACAGGGGGAUAACAGUUGGAAACGACUGCUAAUACCGCAUAAGCGCACGGUAUCGCAUGAUACAGUGUGAAAAACUCCGGUGGUAUAAGAUGGACCCGCGUCUGAUUAGCUUGUUGGUGAGGUAACGGCCACAAGGCGACGAUCAGUAGCCGGCCUGAGAGGGUGAACGGCCACAUUGGGACUGAGACACGGCCCAAAUCCUACGGGAGGCA